GAUUUCUGAUAUAAUUUUCNUGUCCCGCUGUGGUUACACAUGUGAGUGACGAAUAAUAUUUAUCUGUUUUAUGUUUUGUUUGUAUAGUAUGUAAAUAUUAUACAAAACAUACAUAUCUUUUACUUUGAACAAAUUAGAGUGUUUCAAGCAGGCAUUUAUGCCUUGAAUACAUGAGCAUGGAAUAAUCAUCGAGGACUUUUAGUUCUAUGUUGAUUGGUUCUAGAACUAUAGUAAUGAUGGAUAGGGAUAGUUGGGGGUGCUAGUAUUCCGAGGCCAGAGGUGAAAUUCUUGGAUUCUCGGAAGACUCACUUAGGCGAAAGCAUUCACCAAGGAUGUCUUCAUUAAUCAAGAACGAAAGUUGGGGGAUCGAAGACGAUCAGAUACCGUCGUAGUCUCAACCAUAAACUAUGCCGACUAGGGAUGUGACAAUGUUGAAUUUUCGACUUGUUACGCACCUCAUGAGAAAUCAAAGUCUUUGGGUUCAUGGGGAAGUAUGGUCGCAAGGCUGANACUUUUWGG
rnacentral:rRNA from 1 species